UAAUAGUGUAUAUUAAAGUUGUUGCAGUUAAAAAGCUCGUAGUUGAAUGUUGGUGUCGAACGAGCGGUCAGCUUCGGCUGUACUGCUCUCUCGACUCCUUCCUUCUGUGGACUACGUCGCACUUUACUGUGUGGCGCUAGGACGCAGAUCGUUUACUGUGAAAAAAUUAGAGUGUUCAAAGCAGGCCGUACGCUUGAAUACAUUAGCAUGGAAUAAUGGAAUAGGACGUCGGGCCUAUUUUGUUGGUUCUAGGACCGUCGUAAUGAUUAAUAGGGACAGUUGGGGCCGUUUAUAUUCCGUAGUCAGAGGUGAAAUUCUCGGAUUUACGGAAGAUAAACUACUGCGAAAGCAUUCGGCAAGGAUGUUUUCGUUAA
rnacentral:rRNA from 1 species